UUGCUGAAUGCUUUUAAUGUGCUAAAUGCCUUCAACUCAUUGACCAUGCAAGGCAGCCUUUACACAGGCAUAAGUACAUACGCUCACAAUUUCACAGUCUCUCUUAGUUCUGUGUUUUCCACCCUCAAAGUUCAAAGCAUAAUUUCUACGCUGUUGACAAAUCGAACCAUUUACAGUCUCAGUGUUAAGUCACUAGGUAAAACACUGCAACCACACCAAUAUUUUUGGUCAAUAUGUUUGAUCUAUCCAGCCAUUCCUACCCAUCUUUUUACUAACAGUAUUUUAUUUUUUUAUUUGCAGGCAUGGUAUACAUGGAGGCACCUACAGGAAAAGUGUGUUACAAUUCAAGACAACAGCUGAACUGUACCAGUAUAGAGGCUAUGAGCAAGUGCGUGUGGCAGAUGUCCAGAGAUGAUGAAGCGACAUUGACUCUGGGACCAGGGAGUGAAGUACAGCUGUCAGAUACUUGUACAGAACUUUCAACAGUCACUCUUCUAAAGACAAAUGGAUUCUGGUCAGGAACAUACAUCUGCCUUUUCGUCGCUGGGAACAUAGCUCACAUGGCCAUGGCACCCAUUCAAAUUGCACUUCUGCCAGAGGUCAUUAAUGUGACAAGCAAUCCACAAACUGCAGAUUGUUCUGCAUCAUCAUCCACCAAAGUUAGCAUCUUAUGUUCCAUCGAAAACAGCACUGAAACCUACAAAGCCAUGCUAAAACUCGGACCUGCUGAAAUUGCACCACUUAAAGAAGGUAAGGCUAUAAUUAUCUUAUAAAUCUCUCUUUUGUUGGAACAAGAAGCUGACGUUUUAUUAUCUUGGUUGCACUUUAUUUUACAGUACCUGUACUUACAUGUACUUAUAGUGUACUUACAAUGUAUUUAUCUAAGAACGUUAUGGUAAUACAAGGUAAGUACAUGGGGUAGGGUUAGGUUUAGGGGUAGGUUCAGGGUUAGUACCUAGUUAUUACAUAGUUAUUGUAAUUACUAAAAUAAGUACAUAGUAUGUACAUGAGGAACAGGACUGUAAAAUAAAGUGCUACCAUUAUCUUUAUAAAGCA
ensembl:lncRNA